AAUGAACGCUGGCGGCAUGCCUAACACAUGCAAGUCGAACGAAGGCUUCGGCCUUAGUGGCGCACGGGUGCGUAACGCGUGGGAAUCUGCCCUCAGGUUCGGAACAACAGCGAGAAAUUGCUGCUAAUACCGGAUGAUAUCGCGAGAUCAAAGAUUUAUCGCCUGAGGAUGAGCCCGCGUAGGAUUAGCUAGUUGGUGUGGUAAAGGCGCACCAAGGCGACGAUCCUUAGCUGGUCUGAGAGGAUGAUCAGCCACACUGGGACUGAGACACGGCCCAGAUUCCUACGGGAGGCAGUAGUGGGGAAUAUUGGACAAUGGGCGAAAGCCUGAUCCAGCAAUGUCGCGUGAGUGAUGAAGGCCUUAGGGUUGUAAAGCUCUUUUACCCGGGAUGAUAAUGACAGUACCGGGAGAAUAAGCUCCGGCUAACUCCGUGCCAGCAGCCGCGGUAA
rnacentral:rRNA from 1 species